CUGGGCGUAAAGCGUGCGCAGGCGGUUAUAUAAGUCAGAUGUGAAAUCCCCGGGCUCAACCUGGGAACUGCAUUUGAGACUGUAUGGCUAGAGUGUGUCAGAGGGGGGUAGAAUUCCACGUGUAGCAGUGAAAUGCGUAGAUAUGUGGAGGAAUACCGAUGGCGAAGGCAGCCCCCUGGGAUAACACUGACGCUCAUGCACGAAAGCGUGGGGAGCAAACAGGAUUAGAUACCCUGGUAGUCCACGCCCUAAACGAUGUCUACUAGUUGUUGGGUCUUAAUUGACUUAGUAACGCAGCUAACGCGUGAAGUAGACCGCCUGGGGAGUACGGUCGCAAGAUUAAAACUCAAAGGAAUUGACGGGGACCCGCACAAGCGGUGGAUGAUGUGGAUUAAUUCGAUGCAACGCGAAAAACCUUACCUACCCUUGACAUGGCAGGAAUUCCGAAGAGAUUUGGAAGUGCUCGCAAGAGAACCUGCACACAGGUGCUGCAGGCUGUCGUCAGCUCGU
rnacentral:rRNA from 1 species